GUACGGGGUGUUAGGGCACGACACCGGAGAGGGAGCCUGAGAAACGGCUACCACAUCCAAGGAAGGCAGCAGGCGCGCAAAUUACCCAAUCCCGACAUGGGGAGGUAGUGACAAUAAAUAACAAUACAGGGUUCUUUUGGAUCUUGUAAUUGGAAUGAGUACAAUUUAAAUCUCUUAACGAGGAACAAUUGGAGGGCAAGUCUGGUGCCAGCAGCCGCGGUAAUUCCAGCUCCAAUAGCGUAUAUUAAAGUUGUUGCAGUUAAAAAGCUCGUAGUUGAAUUUCGGGAUCAAGGAAUCGGUCAUGCCUCGGUAUGUACUGGUUUUAUUGGUUCUCACCUUCUAAAGAACCAUAAUGUCAUUCAUUUGAUGUUAAGGGGAAUUAGGACUGUUACCUUGAAAAAAUUAGAGUGUUUAAAGCAGGCUUACGCUUGAAUACAUUAGCAUGGAAUAAUGAAAUAGGACAUCAGAUUCUAUUUUGUUGGUUUCUAGGAUCGAUGUAAUGAUUAAUAGGGACAGUUGGGGGCAUUAGUAUUCAAUUGUCAGAGGUGAAAUUCUUGGAUUUAUUGAAGACUAACUACUGCGAAAGCAUUUGCCAAGGAUGUUUUCAUUAAUCAAGAACGAAAGUUAGGGGAUCGAAGACGAUCAGAUACCGUCGUAG
rnacentral:rRNA from 1 species